GAUGAACGCUGGCGGCGUGCCUAAUACAUGCAAGUCGAGCGAACGGACGAGAAGCUUGCUUCUCUGAUGUUAGCGGCGGACGGGUGAGUAACACGUGGAUAACCUACCUAUAAGACUGGGAUAACUUCGGGAAACCGGAGCUAAUACCGGAUAAUAUUUUGAACCGCAUGGUUCAAAAGUGAAAGACGGUCUUGCUGUCACUUAUAGAUGGAUCCGCGCUGCAUUAGCUAGUUGGUAAGGUAACGGCUUACCAAGGCAACGAUGCAUAGCCGACCUGAGAGGGUGAUCGGCCACACUGGAACUGAGACACGGUCCAGACUCCUACGGGAGGCAGCAGUAGGGAAUCUUCCGCAAUGGGCGAAAGCCUGACGGAGCAACGCCGCGUGAGUGAUGAAGGUCUUCGGAUCGUAAAACUCUGUUAUUAGGGAAGAACAUAUGUGUAAGUAACUGUGCACAUCUUGACGGUACCUAAUCAGAAAGCCACGGCUAACUACGUGCCAGCAACCGCGGUAAUACGUAGGUGGCAAGCGUUAUCCGGAAUUAUUGGGCGUAAAGCGCGCGUAGGCGGUUUUUUAAGUCUGAUGUGAAAGCCCACGGCUCAACCGUGGAGGGUCAUUGGAAACUGGAAAACUUGAGUGCAGAAGAGGAAAGUGGAAUUCCAUGUGUAGCGGUGAAAUGCGCAGAGAUAUGGAGGAACACCAGUGGCGAAGGCGACUUUCUGGUCUGUAACUGACGCUGAUGUGCGAAAGCGUGGGGAUCAAACAGGAUUAGAUACCCUGGUAGUCCACGCCGUAAACGAUGAGUGCUAAGUGUUAGGGGGUUUCCGCCCCUUAGUGCUGCAGCUAACGCAUUAAGCACUCCGCCUGGGGAGUACGACCGCAAGGUUGAAACUCAAAGGAAUUGACGGGGACCCGCACAAGCGGUGGAGCAUGUGGUUUAAUUCGAAGCAACGCGAAGAACCUUACCAAAUCUUGACAUCCUUUGACAACUCUAGAGAUAGAGCCUUCCCCUUCGGGGGACAAAGUGACAGGUGGUGCAUGGUUGUCGUCAGCUCGUGUCGUGAGAUGUUGGGUUAAGUCCCGCAACGAGCGCAACCCUUAAGCUUAGUUGCCAUCAUUAAGUUGGGCACUCUAAGUUGACUGCCGGUGACAAACCGGAGGAAGGUGGGGAUGACGUCAAAUCAUCAUGCCCCUUAUGAUUUGGGCUACACACGUGCUACAAUGGACAAUACAAAGGGCAGCGAAACCGCGAGGUCAAGCAAAUCCCAUAAAGUUGUUCUCAGUUCGGAUUGUAGUCUGCAACUCGACUACAUGAAGCUGGAAUCGCUAGUAAUCGUAGAUCAGCAUGCUACGGUGAAUACGUUCCCGGGUCU
rnacentral:rRNA from 1 species